UACGGAGGGUCCAAGCGUUAUCCGGAAUUACUGGGCGUAAAGAGUUGCGUAGGUGGCAGGGUAAGUUGAUAGGGAAAGCGUGCGGCUCAACCGCAUACACAUUAUCAAAACUGCUCAGCUAGAGGGCGAGAGAGGUAACUGGAAUUCCUAGUGUAGGAGUGAAAUCCGUAGAUAUUAGGAGGAACACCGAUGGCGUAGGCAGGUUACUGGCUCGUCCCUGACACUAAGGCACGAAAGCGUGGGGAGCAAACGGG
rnacentral:rRNA from 1 species